rnacentral:rRNA from 1 species
GACAGAGGGUGCAAACGUUGUUCGGAAUUACUGGGCGUAAAGCGCGUGUAGGCGGCAAUAUAAGUCGGAUGUGAAAUCCCGCGGCUCAACCGUGGAAGUGCACCCGAAACUGUAUCGCUAGAGUCCCGGAGAGGAUGGUGGAAUACUUGGUGUAGAGGUGAAAUUCGUAGAUAUCAAGUGGAACACCGGUGGCGAAGGCGGCCAUCUGGACGGUGACUGACGCUGAGACGCGAAAGCGUGGGUAGCAAACAGG